AUUGAACGCUGGCGGCAGGCUUAACACAUGCAAGUCGAGCGAGGAAAGGUAGCUUGCUACUUGACCUAGCGGCGGACGGGUGAGUAAUGCUUAGGAAUCUGCCUAUUGGUGGGGGGCAACAUCUCGAAAGGGAUGCUAAUACCGCAUACGUCCUACGGGAGAAAGCAGGGGACCUUCGGGCCUUGCGCUAAUAGAUGAGCCUAAGUCGGAUUAGCUAGUUGGUGGGGUAAAGGCCUACCAAGGCGACGAUCUGUAGCGGGUCUGAGAGGAUGAACCGCCACACUGGGACUGAGACACGGCCCAGACUCCUACGGGAGGCAGCAGUGGGGAAUAUUGGACAAUGGGGGGAACCCUGAUCCAGCCAUGCCGCGUGUGUGAAGAAGGCCUUUUGGUUGUAAAGCACUUUAAGCGAGGAGGAGGCUACCGAGAUUAAUACUCUUGGAUAGUGGACGUUACUCGCAGAAUAAGCACCGGCUAACUCUGUGCCAGCCGCCGCGGUAAAAC
rnacentral:rRNA from 1 species